UACGCAUUCGCGUGUGGUGGUUCUUGCCUUGUGUGUCAACGCCAGUUCGCGAUCGAGGAAAACUCUUGGGACAUGGUAGCCUGUCUUCGGGUGGGCGAAUGUGCCUUGUAGAACUCAUUUGCGGACUGAUUCCUUCGUGUCUGGUUGCAGCGCUUCUUGUCUCUUCGACGUGCUUGGGGGUGGGAGUUCGCUCCUCGCACCCAGCGCUCGGGUGACUGGGCGCUUCCCUGACGCAUAGACAAUGACUAAAUGGUUCUAUUCGACCCGUCUUGAAAC
rnacentral:rRNA from 1 species